rnacentral:rRNA from 1 species
UUCCUACGGGGGGCAGCAGUGAGGAAUAUUGGUCAAUGGGCGAGAGCCUGAACCAGCCAAGUCGCGUGAGGGAGGACGGCCCUACGGGUUGUAAACCUCUUUUGCCGGGGGACAAACGGCGGCACGCGUGCCGUCCUGAGGGUACCCGGAGAAAAGGCAUCGGCUAACUCCGUGCCAGCAGCCGCGGUAAUACGGAGGAUGCGAGCGUUAUCCGGAUUUAUUGGGUUUAAAGGGUGCGUAGGCGGUCCGUUAAGUCAGCGGUAAAAUUGCGGGGCUCAACCCCGUCGAGCCGUUGAAACUGGCAG